rnacentral:lncRNA from 1 species
CCUAACACUUUAACUAAAAUUAAUUUGGCUCUUUUAAUUUUCUUAAAAUUUUGACAAAGUAUUUACUUUGACCCUUUGACAAAAAUAUAAAAAUUUCAAAAAAUUUGAACCUACCGUUUAAUCAGAAAAAUUACACUGGUUAUAUAGCAGUUUGACAAACACUUAUUUUGAUCAUUGAAAAGCUUAAUAUUCCCAUAUGAACA